GCCCUUUUCCGGUUGAUCCCGCCGGACCCCACUGCUAUCGAGGUGGGACUAAUCCAUGCUAGUCGAACGAUCCCGGACUAUGGCGGGAGAGUGGCAUACUGCUCAGUAACACGUAGCUAACCUACCCUCGGGACAGGCAUAACCCCGGGAAACUGGGGCUAAUUCCUGAUAGGUGUGGAAUCCUGGAAUGGUUUCACGCCCAAAUACAAGCGCACCCAUGUCGUGCGCGCGCGCCCGAGGAUGGGGCUGCGGUCGAUCAGGCAGUUGGUGAGGUAAAGGCUCACCAAACCUUUGACCGGUACGGGCCAUGAGAGUGGUAGCCCGGAGAUGGGCACUGAGACAAGGGCCCAGGCCCUACGGGGCGCAGCAGGGGCGAAGCCUCCACAAUGCACGAAAGUGCGAUGGGGUUACCUCGAGUGCCGUCUGAAAAAGGCGGCUUUUCCAUGGUGUAAUGAGCCGUGGGAAUAAAGGGGGGGCAAGACUGGUGUCAGCCGCCGCGGUAACACCAGCCCCCCGAGUGGUGGGGAUGAUUAUUUGGCCUAAAGCGUCCGUAGCCGGCUCGGUAAAUCUCUCGUUAAAUCCAGCGUCCUAAGCGUUGGGCUGCGAGGGAGACUGCCGAGCUAGAGGGUGGGAGAGGUCAGCGGUAUUUCUGGGGUAGGGGCGAAAUCCAUUGAUCCCAGGAGGACCACCAGUGGCGAAGGCUGCUGACUAGAACACGCCUGACGGUGAGGGACGAAAGCUGGGGUAGCGAAUCGGAUUAGAUACCCGAGUAGUCCCAGCCGUAAACGAUGCAGGCUAGGUGUUGGGCCGGCCACGCGCCGGCUCAGUGCCACAGGGAAGCCAUUAAGCCUGCCGCCUGGGGAGUACGGCCGCAAGGCUGAAACUUAAAGGAAUUGGCGGGAGAGCACCACCAGGCGUGAAGCCUGCGGUUUAAUUGGAUUCAACGCCGGGAAGGGGGAAUUCGUU
rnacentral:rRNA from 1 species